AUUAUUGUCAACUUUAUAAAGACUUUGUGGAUGAUGAUCAUGAGCACAGUGUUUCAGUGACAUGCCUGUCUGUUCAACUCUACACAGUUCCUACAUUGGCAAGAAUGUUGAUAUUGGAACAGGAUGUCUUGGAAGUGAUCAUUUCCUCAUUUAUGGACCAUCUGAGGCCUGCCAUCAGUG